rnacentral:lncRNA from 1 species
CGGGGCUGAGGAGCUUUAUACGGACGCGCUCGGUUGGGAAGAUGGGGGUCGUGGGCGUGGCGGACGACGUCUGUGAGGAGAAAUCGGGCGGCAGUUGGAGGAAGGAGGCGAAGCUGACAGGUGGGGCCCGCCUGGCAGCAGCUGUGGCUCGGGCGCAGCAAGGUUGGGCUGCUCGCGGUUCGGUAAGUGGGCCAGCCCAGUAAGGGUGGGUCCGGUUUCUUUUUUCUUUCUUUUUUCUGUUUCUGGUUUUGAACUAGACUUUUGAUUCAAAGCUCCAAAUUGAGUCAAAUAAAAUGCAACAAAAUUUGUAAAAUCAUAUCUUCAUAUGAUUCAACUUUUGGGACAAGAAUUACCUCAAAAUAAAAUAUUUAAAAAUAUUUUUGCCUAAAAACUUGCCUUUAGGGCUUUAUAAGUAAUGAAAUUUGUAGUGUUUCAAAUCCAAAAUCAAAUACCAAACAUGGGGUAGCAUUAUCAUG